UGUGUACAAAUUAUACAAUUAAUAGUUCC
rnacentral:piRNA from 1 species